rnacentral:lncRNA from 1 species
GUUUUAUUGUAGGUGGGUCACAUGGUUUGUUGUGGUCUCGUGAAGACAAUGUUGUGUGAUAUGUUGUGGUCUCGUGACAUAAGAAGACAAUGUUGUGUGAUAUGUUGUGGUCUCAUGACAGAAGAAGACAAUGUUCUGUGAUAUGUUGUUGUGGUCUCGUGUAAGAUAUUUGUUUUGUAAUGUAUGUUGUAACAACUUGUAUUGUUUCACGUUUCUUUUUAAUUUAUACCAACCAAAUGGAACUUCUCUUUAUAAACUUCAACAACAACACUCAAAUGCUCUAACAUUUAACCGAGCAAAACAAAACAACAACAACACUCAAAUGCUCUCAAGCCUUUCCAUUUAUAAACUUUGUUUUUCUUUAUAAACUUUGUUCUUCUUCACAUUUCUUCAUAUCUUUCCGCUUUAAGCAUUCUCGUUUGGUUAAAAACUUUUUUUAAUGGCAUUUUCUUCUAAUAAUUUC